rnacentral:rRNA from 1 species
UGGGGAAUAUUGGACAAUGGGCGCAAGCCUGAUCCAGCAAUGCCGCGUGUGUGAAGAGGGCCUUCGGGUUGUAAAGCACUUUUAUCAGGAGCGAAACGCUGUCGGCUAAUACCCGGCGGAACUGACGGUACCUGAGGAAUAAGCACCGGCUAACUUCGUGCCAGCAGCCGCGGUAAUACGAAGGGUGCAAGCGUUAAUCGGAAUUACUGGGCGUAAAGCGUGCGUAGGCGGUUUCUUAAGUCUGCUGUGAAAUCCCCGGGCUCAACCUGGGAAUGGCAGUGGAUACUGGGAGGCUAGAGUGUGUCAGAGGGUGGUGGAAUUCCCGGUGUAGCGGUGAAAUGCGUAGAGAUCGGGAGGAACAUCAGUGGCGAAGGCGGCCACCUGGGACAACACUGACGCUGAGGCACGAAAGCGUGGGGAGCAAACAGGAUUAGAUACCCUGGUAGUCCACGCCCUAAACGAUGCGAACUGGAUGUUGGUCUCAACUCGGAGAUCAGUGUCGAAGCUAACGCGUUAAGUUCGCCGCCUGGGGAGUACGGUCGCAAGACUGAAACUCAAAUGAAUUGAC